GACGAACGCUGGCGGCGUGCUUAACACAUGCAAGUCGAACGAAGUGGCGUACGGGUGAGUAACGCGUAAUCAACCUGCCCUUCAGAGGGGGACAACAGUUGGCAACGACUGCUAAUACCUCAUACUGAAGGAGGGGAUUGCGUCUGAUUAGCUGGUUGGAGGGGUAACCGCCCACCAAGGCGAUGAUCAGUAGCCGGGCUGGGAGGAUGAACGAGCACAGUGGGACUGAGGAACGGCCCAGAACUCUAAGGGAGGCAGCAGUGGGGAAUCUUCCGAAAUGGACGAAAGUCUGACGGAGCAACGCCGCGGUAGUGAUGACGGCCUUCGGGUUGGAAAGCUCUGUUAAUCGGGACGCGGUACCGGAAUAGAAAGCCACGGCUAACUACGUGCCAGCAGCCGCGGUAAUAC
rnacentral:rRNA from 1 species